rnacentral:lncRNA from 1 species
ACCCUCCCGACCUGGCAGACGCUGGGACCGAACCCGCCUCCUCGCAGUGAGCGGUCCCGGAAGCCCCGGCUCAAGGGUCCAAUCACCGGAAGUGUCGCCUAGGGCGGCCGGGAGAGGGAAGAAUCGAGUAUUGAGUAUUUGUGAAUUAGAGACCUUGUGGAGCCAAAAGGAAAAGUCGUUGAGUUCUUGUUAUGGUAAGCUACAGUUUAUUCAGUCUUAUAAAAUGGACCUUCUCUCUUUCAUCACAGUAAUGCCCUUCUUGUGUGAUGUGUUAGCCCUUUUGGUUUAUCAGGUUUGGAAGUGCCAAGUAAAACAUCGAUAUAUAUAUAUACGAUGCUGGAAAUUUGUAAACACAAACUGCUAAUGAAUGAAAGGCUUGAAACAGAUAUGUUUUUGAAGUUACCAGUAAAGUAACUGUGAAAGCACGGGAAUCAAGAAGACUGAUGGAAAACCAC